rnacentral:rRNA from 1 species
AGUGAACGCUGGCGGUAGGCCUAACACAUGCAAGUCGAACGGCAGCACAGUAAGAGCUUGCUCUUACGGGUGGCGAGUGGCGGACGGGUGAGGAAUAAAUCGGAAUCUACUUUUUCGUGGGGGAUAAUGUAGGGAAACUUACGCUAAUACCGCAUACGACCUACGGGUGAAAGCAGGGGAUCUUCGGACCUUGCGCGAUUGAAUGAGCCGAUGUCGGAUUAGCUAGUUGGCGGGGUAAAGGCCCACCAAGGCGACGAUCCGUAGCUGGUCUGAGAGGAUGAUCAGCCACACUGGAACUGAGACACGGUCCAGACUCCUACGGGAGGCGGCAGUGGGGAAUAUUGGGCAAUGGGCGCAAGCCUGAUCCAGCCAUACCGCGUGGGUGAAGAAGGCCUUCGGGUUGUAAAGCCCUUUUGUUGGGAAAGAAAAGCAGCAGGUUAAUACCCCGCUGUUCUGACGGUACCCAAAGAAUAAGCACCGGCUAACUUCGUG